GAUGAACGCUGGCGGCGUGCCUAAUACAUGCCAGUCGAGCGAACAGACGAGGAGCUUGCUCCUCUGACGUUAGCGGCGGACGGGUGAGUAACACGUGGAUAACCUACCUAUAAGACUGGGAUAACUUCGGGAAACCGGAGCUAAUACCGGAUAAUAUAUUGAACCGCAUGGUUCAAUAGUGAAAGACGGUUUUGCUGUCACUUAUAGAUGGAUCCGCGCCGCAUUAGCUAGUUGGUAAGGUAACGGCUUACCAAGGCAACGAUGCGUAGCCGACCUGAGAGGGUGAUCGGCCACACUGGAACUGAGACACGGUCCAGAUUCCUACGGGAGGCAGCAGUAGGGAAUCUUCCGCAAUGGGCGAAAGCCUGACGGAGCAACGCCGCGUGAGUGAUGAAGGUCUUCGGAUCGUAAAACUCUGUUAUUAGGGAAGAACAAAUGUGUAAGUAACUAUGCACGUCUUGACGGUACCUAAUCAGAAAGCCACGGCUAACUACGUG
rnacentral:rRNA from 1 species